UACAGAGGAUGCAAGCGUUAUCCGGAAUGAUUGGGCGUAAAGCGUCUGUAGGUGGCUUUUUAAGUCCGCCGUCAAAUCCCAGGGCUCAACUCUGGACAGGCGGUGGAAACUACCAAGCUGGAGUACGGUAGGGGCAGAGGGAAUUUCCGGUGGAGCGGUGAAAUGCGUAGAGAUCCGGAAGAACACCAGUGGCGAAGGCGGCCCGCUGGGCAGUGGCUGACGCUGAGGUGCGAAAGCGUGGGGAGCAAACAGG
rnacentral:rRNA from 1 species